CCCCGCCCUCAAGGGCGGGGCUAUUCACUGCCGGGCCUUCGGCCCU
rnacentral:sRNA from 1 species